ACUCCCAAAGUGAUUAACGCGAUCAAAAGAUCUACGAAGAACGAAACUAACAAUGCCAUAAUAUUACAACUCGAUCUCAGGAGUUCCUACCAAACAGUGACCGAGAAUCUCGGCAUAUGCGUUUAUAUAAUCAUCUCACAAUCAUCUACUCGAAUCAAAUGAAGACUGGUGUCAUCCAUACUCAAGUAUCGUGGCUUAUCAGUUUAUUAAUGGUAAAAUGUAAGAGCAUGUCAGUUCAUUAAGGGAGAUAGAAAAUUCAAUAAACAUUUAGACUUAAUUUUUAUAUUGAAUCACGUACUAUCGAGGAAUGACGAAGCUUUUAUAUUAUAAACAAAUUAACUGUAUCAUUUAUCUGACGUUUUAAAUGGACUGCGAAGUGACUCUUAGGAA